GAUGAACGCUAGCUACAGGCUUAACACAUGCAAGUCGAGGGGCAGCGCAGUGUAGCAAUACAUGGGCGGCGACCGGCGCACGGGUGCGUAACGCGUAUCCAACCUUCCCGUUACUCAGGGAUAGCCUUCCGAAAGGGAGAUUAAUACCUGAUGGUGUUUGAAUUCCGCAUGUUAUUCAAACUAAAGAUUUAUCGGUAACGGAUGGGGAUGCGUGACAUUAGGUAGAUGGCGGGGUAACGGCCCACCAUGCCUACGAUGUCUAGGGGUUCUGAGGGGAAGGUCCCCCACACUGGAACUGAGACACGGUCCAGACUCCUACGGGAGGCAGCAGUGAGGAAUAUUGGUCAAUGGGCGCAAGCCUGAACCAGCCAAGUAGCGUGAAGGAUGACUGCCCUAUGGGUUGUAAACCUCUUUUGUCGGGGAAUAAACCGCGCCACGUGUGGCGCCCUGCAUGUACCCGCAGAAUAAGGACCGGCUAAUUCCGUG
rnacentral:rRNA from 1 species